rnacentral:rRNA from 1 species
CGGCGAAGCCGCGAGGUGGAGCGAAUCCCAAAAAGACCGGUCUAAGUUCGGAUUGCAGGCUGCAACCCGCCUGCAUGAAGUCGGAAUCGCUAGUAAUCGCGAGUCAGCAUAUCGCGGUGAAUACGUUCCCGGGUCUUGUACACACCGCCCGUCACACCAUGGGAGUUGGAAAUGCCCGAAGCCAGUGACCCAACCGUAAGGAGGGAGCUGUCGAAGGUGGAGCCGAUGACUGGGGUGAAGUCGUAACAAGGUAUC